CAUUUCUCUUUUUGAAGGUUUAGGAAUUAGGAUCAUAGCAGUUCCGUUUUCUCAAGCGUUGCUCAUAAAUCGGUCAAAUUUUCAAAUUUAAUCACGCUUCAAUUUCUUGAUAGAGAAUUGAUUUUUCUUACCAGCCUUUUGGACCUUUGAUAUGACUUCGUUUGUGGUUACAGGUGUUGCGUUCUUCUAACCUUGUGUUAGAGUUUCAAUCAAAUGUCUUUCCUUCAAAUGGUGAGUUUUCAUGCCCUUUUUUCAAUUCAAAAUUUUCAUUUGCCACUUUGCCAGCCCAAUGUUAUCUUACAAAUUGGAAUCAUUUUGGUGAUUUAGGAUAAACAUACAUGUUCUAUUGCUACAAUCAAUUGCUAACCUUGAACUGUACAUGUUCAAGUCCAAAAUAUAGAUAUGAGGAUGGAACCAAAAUAGAGAACAAAAUAUUUUUUUUAGAAUUUGCUUAUGAAUCAGUAUUUCAAAUUGCAAUUAGUUUCUUUACGUUGAUAGUGGAUAUACUCAAAUAGAUCGUUUAAGACAUUGCAGGAUUCUUUUAUUAUUCACACGCGUUCUCUGGCAUCACUUUCGCUCUCUUGGUUCUUCUUCUUUUGCUUUCU
rnacentral:lncRNA from 1 species